GAUGAACGCUGGCGGCGUGCCUAAUACAUGCAAGUCGAGCGAACAGAUAAGGAGCUUGCUCCUUUGACGUUAGCGGCGGACGGGUGAGUAACACGUGGAUAACCUACCUAUAAGACUGGGAUAACUUCGGGAAACCGGAGCUAAUACCGGAUAACAUAUUGAACCGCAUGGUUCAAUAGUGAAAGGCGGCUUUGCUGUCACUUAUAGAUGGAUCCGCGCCGGAUUAGCUAGUUGGUAAGGUAACGGCUUACCAAGGCAACGAUACGUAGCCGACCUGAGAGGGUGAUCGGCCACACUGGAACUGAGACACGGUCCAGACUCCUACGGGAGGCAGCAGUAGGGGAUCUUCCGCAAUGGGCGAAAGCCUGACGGAGCAACGCCGCGUGAGUGAUGAAGGUCUUCGGAUCGUAAAACUCUGUUAUCAGGGAAGAACAAAUGUGUAAGUAACUGUGCACAUCUUGACGGUACCUGAUCAGAAAGCCACGGCUAACUACGUG
rnacentral:rRNA from 1 species